UUAGACUUCAUGCUCUAAUUUAAGACCUUUUAUGGCCUUAAUUUGUGGAAGGGCAAAUUAAGACUUUUUUAAGACCAACAGAAACCCUGAUUUACAUAGUUUUUUCAUAUGUACUGUUUCAGUAGGGAUGACCAGACGUACAGUACCUGUUUUCUGGCUUUUGGUGUCCCGUCCCUGACUGGAGCUGUCCCUGUUUUACAGUACAUUUGUACAUUUAAAACACCACAAAUAGGAUGCUGGUUACCAGAGCAAUCGUACCGGAAUAAGGUGCACUGAUAAAUUCCCAGACAUGAUGUAAAAGCAGCCAAUCAGAUUUUCAGAGCUGCUGUUUUCAACCAGCUCUUCCCAUUCUUGGUGCAACAUGAGGAGGAUCAGAUGGAAAUCAGUUUUUAUAGCCAAGCAAUGUAAUUCCCAUCCAACGAUCGGCAUGCAAUUGAUAGCCUAGCUCAUUCUCUGACUAUUGAUUACUCAUCGAAAGUCAUUCCUCUGGAUAAUGAUCAGACCUGGAGAGGUUGGUAAAAGCUUUUUUGAUUGAAAAAAUGGGUAAGCAAAAAUGGAUCACUUUUACACCGGUAUGUGAUUUAUUUAAGCAUUUAUCUAACAAAUAAUUUGCAAGAAGAAAACCACAAAUGAUUCAUUAGCUUUAUAUUAGCUCAGUCAUCCACGUUAAUAUUAUUGAAAGCGAUACUUUUUGUUUUGUUAUUCAUGUACACAUAGUAAAACUAAACAAUAUUUCCCCACUAAAGGUCACAAUAAUUAGUAGUAAUAAUAUUCACAUUAUUCUUCAAGUUAAAUUGAAAAUGUCUUGAGAUGCAAUGUUACCAUUCAUAUAAGAGGACUAAAUAGAAAAGCAUUGAGAGAAAGAAAGAGACAGACAGAAAGGAUUCUUUAUUGAUUCAUUAUUGUAUUCUCAGGUUUGAUCUGAAACUCUUAAAGCCAUAAUCUUAAAGCCAUGCAUCAACUUAAAUAAGCCAUCAUGCUCUUCUUUCCCUCAGGCCACUCAGGUAGAAGCUGUCAGAGGUUGAUCAUACUUUGUUUUAAGAACCAAACAGGCAGCAACAUCAGAAGUCUAAAGUGUGGGCGAGAUAGUGAAGGAUAAAACGAGUAGAGCCACUGCAGAGAGUGAUAGAGACAGAGAAGAAGAGAGAAAACCGACCCUGGGGAGAAACGGGUGGUGCUGGGAUGACAUUUUUGGGGCAUUCGCUACAGUUAUGGAUGAAUUGUAUAUAAUAUUGCUCAAUGGAAAGAUUGCCGCAAACACACCUCAAAAUCUCCACAACGCAAGCACUGAAUCACAAUCACGACAUGCCAGGAGCUUCUGGUAAAGUUAAUAAAAAGCGUUUGCUAUAGUCAAAGAGCUGCGAGAACAAAGCCUGAAAUGAAGCAAAGGAGUGAUGAAUCGGUUAAAAUGGAGGUUUUUAAGUGGGUAGUUGUUGUAGUUUGCCAAGAACUUCAAAGUUAUAAAGAUCUUUUUUCCCCUUUAUAUCAAUACUUUCCACUCCUGGCUGAAUAUCUCACUUAUAGUUCUCAGUGCUCAGUAUUUCCUUUAGGUUAUAUAUCAAUAAACAUUAAGUUGGAAAUAAAUUGCAGACUAAGCUCUAUUUCAGUGAGCUGCCUUUCUUUCUACUGCCUUCUAAGGAAGCAUCCUAACGAAAAACCUCAUAAGUGACUCAUUUGGAGUACUCUACAAAGACAGAAACUCACACAAGUAGUAGCUUUCCCAGCUAGUGAAGCUGUACAUAGCCGGCAAAGAUCUAUAAACAUUAUUACUAAAUGUUCAAAAGGUCUAGUUUUUAAAUGUUUUAAAGGAGUUAUGAAACUAAUAUCUAACUGCUAUGUUACUUACAUACAUAAUAGGUUACUUUACAACAAAAACAUACUGCAAGUUUCAAAACUAAUUCUCCAGUUUGAAAUAUAUUAUUUUCUACACUUCUUAAACAUCAGGAUUUGAAAUCGGGACAAUUGUGACGUCACUUAACAUAUGUCAUUGUCCUAUCAAGGAGUGUUGCUGCAUGUUGUUAGGUAAAGAAAACCUUCUUGCAAACUUUAGAAACUAAGAUUAUUCUAUUUAUAAUCACAGUUACGCUGCUAAAGGAGUCUCUUAUUUACAUUGCACUCUAAAUUUAAUGCUGUUAUCCGCAUUUUUCAUGUUUAGUUCAUCUGGAGGCUGUUAUAUUAAAAAUACUGUAAACAUGUAAUGCUCAUUUAAUAUGAAAGGAUGUUAGGAAAUCAUAGCAGUGGGUGUUUACACUGACACUGCAUUGCACAUGUAAUAGCAAAUGGACACACAAAUCUGAGGUAAAAAGAAAAAAAAUGUUUUAAAUAUUGAAUUUUAAGCAUUAAAAUUAAAGCAUUUCUCAAUAAUUUAAGCAUUUCUCUCACUUUUUCUGCCAUCUUGGACCCCCCCCCACACUCAAUUUGUUUCAGUGCAUUCUGGGAUUGGCUUGUUCCCAACUGAAGACUUGUGUGCUUACAAUGAUUUACGCUCUUUCCGCUCUGACGGGAAGAAUAAAACAUUUUAUAAAGUUUGAGAAAUCCUGUAAUUGUCCUGAUAAUGAAUUUUUAAACAUCAUUUGCUCUGCCAGCGGUGCUUUCACAGAGCUUUUUUGAUACUGUUUAGCGAGAUAAUUCUACUUUCCUCCACUGUUUGGUUUUGUUUGUCUUUGAGACACUAGGCGAACGUUUCAUCGUCUGUGUUUACAUAACCCGGCACAGCCAGCAGUGUCGCACCCGUGAUUAGAUAUCCCUCAUCCUCUUUUAUCCCAUUUUGCCAGAUCUGAGUGUUUUGACAGAUUAUUUCUCAGUCUGCUUAUUGAAUACUGUAUGUGUCUUUGAAAUCUCUGAUGGUGUUUAUGGAGACGGAGACUACAGGUGUGCUAGCGUCUCUUCCACCAUUGGAUGGCAAAUGUUGUCGACUAAUAACGGUUUCCUACGAGAGAAAAAAAGUUGUCCUCCUCAAAGGGGAGCUUUUCGGCUCUGAAAGCCAAAUCCUCCACUGCUGCCUUCAAAUAUCAGGCUUUACUUGGUUUAAAUGGAGAUGUGUGCUCACUGGAAAGUGUCAUUAUUUAGGUUUACUCUGUUCAUUCUAUUGCUAUCAGUUUUUUAUUUAAUUAUUAUUAUUAUUAUUAUUAUUUUUUAAUUUCUCAAAUCACACCAUAUGUAUCAUACAGCAUUUGGUAAUGAUUAUUUAAUUUGUUGGAAUUCUAUAUAUAUUUUAAGCAGUAGUUAUACUUUUCAUUUAAUUAUGUUAUGGUUCCUUAAUGUUUAGUGUAAAGGGUUUUUAUGGCAAACUGUUAUUCAAAAUUUUCUUUUAGAAUAAUUCAGCUUUGUCAUAAUUGACUAAUAGAGGUUCUUCCUUCCUUCCUUAUUUAUGCUUUACAUUUAGCAAAAUUAACUGAAAUAUCAGAAAUAUUCAUAAUAUUAAAAUAUUACAUAUACAUUUAAAUUAAAUUAAUGAAUUGAUAAAUGAAUGAAUAAACAAACAAACUAACUAACUGACUAACUAACUAACUGAUUAAUUGAUUUUUACCAGUAUUUAUAAUUUUUCACUCAAUGUGUUAUGAAUCCUUAAUAUUCGGUGUAUAUAGUUAGAAUAUAUAUAGUUAUGAAUGUAUGUUAGUGUAUAUUGUUCUUUUAGAAACAUACCACUUUGUUGUAAUUAACUAAUAUUGGUUGUCAACACAAUCAGUCUUUAUUUAUUCAUAUUAUACCAUUUAUAUUUAUCAGCAUAUUAUCAUAAAUAUUCAUUAUCAAAAUAUAACCCAUAUUAUCAUACUCAGUUUAUGACAUUUUAUUACUGAGUCUACAGGGCUUUAUGGCAAAAUAUUGUUACAAAUUUCCUUUUAGAAACAUUCAGCUUUGUUGUAAUUGAUUGAUGGUUGUUGUCAAAACAACAUUUUAUAAAUAAAUAUUAUCAUAAAUAAUCAAAAUAUUCAUAACUCAUAUUACAUUCAAAUGAAAUGUAUUUAUUUAUUUUAUUAUUAAAUAAUAAAUAUUAUUAUAUUAUCAUACAUUUUAUAAUAUUAAAAUAUUCAUAACUCAUAUGGUUAAAUUGUUGUAAUCUAUUGAUUAGACAACGUCUAGACCUUUAGGUCCCACUUGUUUCCAAAGCCCCGGUUUCAUGCUAAUUGCCAUUCCAGCCAUUUUUUCCAUUUCUCUGGUGUCCCGUCACACGGCUCCUCUCUGACUUCAGAGGCAGAUGAGCAGACAGCUGUGCAAUAUCCUCUCUCAUCCUUCCUCUGACCCUAGUCUCUCUUUACACCUCCUCCAUCAUUCGCUCCCUUGAGGAUGGCAGGAAGGGAUGUAGACGUGACUAUCGAGAGGAUGGACAGUUUUAAUACCGUGCUUGUGCCCCCCCCCCCACCCCACCAGGGAUCGGUUACCCCUGAAGACAUUACAAGCUCCAAAAUGAAUCACAUCCAUUUCUCACUGUGCACAAGAUGACAGGAGUGAGACCCAGUUUGAGGGCCGAAUCGCUUCGCAACCAUUCGCAACGUGGAAGCGAAGGAUCACAGAGCGAGGUCCACUCCUGUGACCCGUAGUUAAAGCAAGAGACUCCCUAUUGAUAUCAGAGAUAUUACCAGCGUCUUAAAGGUCAGUCAUGACGUUCUCUUCUUCCUCACUUUUUAAUGUUUCAUCAGUAUAUGGUAAAGGUGAUUUUAUAAAAUACUUUCUUCUAUAUCAGUUCAUGCAGAGACGACUGUAUGUUAUUUGCUUCCACAAGUUUGAGUCUGCAUUAGUUUGCAGUCCUGACCAGAUCAACACAACAACAUCAACUCAAGCAAUGGCAGAAGUUUACAGCGGGACGGUCUGCUUGUCUCACCAAUGGAUGACUAGAUGCAUUGCGGCAGGUUUGAUUUCAUUGACAUGGUUCUGACAUGUGAAAGACGCAGUUGUGAUGUGAAAGCUACUGCAAAGGAGAAGAUCAAUACUUCAGAAGACUAGCACACGAGUCACAUGGUGAAAUUUGACCUGGUUAUGGUGAGAUUUACCCUUACUGACACUUCUUGCUGAAAUUGUAGUUUGCUCAUAAGAGGAAAGGAAGCACAUGGCGAUGAGAGAAAUCUCUCCAUGCAAUGCAUUGCCUGGAACUACAGUAUCUACACUAAAAAUGACACAGCAUCUAUUGAUUUUUAUUUAUUUAUUUAUUUUUAUUUCAAGGCCAGAGAGUUCUGACAUAUGUCCACAAUUUAGUUUUUGCAAGUAAUUUUCCAACCAGCAUUGCCCAGAGGUUCACAAGGUGACCUCGUUUUCUGAAGAGAAAAAUUCUCUGUAUCUGAGGCAGCACGCCUUGCCUUUCCUCCCCUCGAUGUAAUGUUGUGGUCUUGUUGUAAACAGUAAAUAAAAAUGCAUUCUUGUGAUAUUUUCCUCAAACCUGGUUGUUGCUGGCCUUCCUCAAGUUUAC